GAUAUGAUGACUACGCGCACGAACAGAUCCUGCAAGCCGCAGCAUUGAAUGUUGAUGGCAACGCAGAGGAGAGGGAGAUGUGUGCAUUUACAUAUUUGAGAAUGAACCCGGAUUUGUUCCAACCUGAUAACUGGAGGCGGUUUGUUGCAUUUGUAAAGAAGAUGAGGGAAGGGAAGAAUGUGCACCGGUGUUUGGAGCAGGUGGAGCGCGAAGCUGAGCAUUUCGUGCACGUGACUCAGCCGUUGGUACAAGAAGCCGCGGUUGCAAUGAUGCACUAGUUGGGUCGGCUGACACUGUUACUGUAUAUGUGCUUGCAGCAACUAUUAG
rnacentral:lncRNA from 1 species